CGGCGCUGAGUAAAGUUGAGCACAUAAAAAAACUCGAAACAGCUGAACUCGACAAAACUGCUCUGUGUACUGUAUGCCUGCGCCUCGUCCAUUAAUUCAGUAUAUAGCAGAAAAAAGUUCUCCCUUACUUCUCAGCGUAAGAAAUACAAGGUGUGAACUGACUGAAAUGCGUGUCUCACGGUGAAUACUUGAGAGCUCUGUCAUAUGUAACCUAAAAGACAAACAUGCGCCUAUCUGCUUUGGCAGACACAGAAGACACCUCAUAAUGUAGCUGCUCUCUCGCACUUUUACUAAGAUCAAAACUGCCACCACAUUUUUGGAGGUUCCACUAAGAUCCCUCUUCUGUAUGCCAGUCUCGAGGUCGGUCCCUGAUCGGUCUGGCCCGGGCCAACCUGAAGACGGUUACUAGUGGGGAGAGAUCUGGGCAAUCAUGAGACUGUCCCAGCAACGGGACCGCGAGCUAAGUGGUAAGGUUUUGAUUCUCGAUUUUUCCAUCUUCAGACAAUCUGCCUCAGGGAUAUAGCAUAUAAUAUGUGGGCAACUGAGGCCCAAACCAGAUCACGCAAAACAAACACACAAACUAACAAAUCUUCUUCUCUUCAGUGUUUUAAAUCUCUACGCCAUCUCAGACUCCUCCACAGCCAAACAUUAACCAACCACCACCCUGUUACACGGCUUCUACACCUACCCAACAGCCAGUUUACUCUCCAGCGGGAUAUUAUACACACUGACGCGCACAAAGAAAUGCAGAUUUCAAAGGGGCGAGACCAGAUGAUCCUCUUUCCAGGUGAAACAGAUCUACAUGGUGGGCACAGCUCACUGCUUCACCCAGACAGUAAAGAACGUUUACCCUCUGUUAUGUUUCCUUACGUAAUUGUGUAUGUUUUGGAAUGUCUUUGUGGUGUUUUCUUCUUCCUUGUUUUUAUUUCUCUCUGCUAAGCAGCGCUUCAAAUCAUCCGCAGCUGAUACCAAUCAUUGGCAGCGUGCCUUACCUGCUAUACGGCGUGCUGCAGAUAUAAAACAGCAGAGAGACACAACUCAGGAGAACUUUUCCUUAUCCGCUAUCCCAGCACCAUGGUUGUUGUAUUUGCUAUUAAGCAGUUGGUGAAAUGUAAACCUAAAGUGUGGUUACAACGACGUUACUGUUGAUGUGCUUGUGUUUGCUAUUAAGCAAUUGGUGACAUGUAAACCUAACAUGUAGUUACAACGACGUUACUGUUGAUGUUUGAGUCUGCCUCUGUCACCCUGUGUAGGGAGAUGGGCACCGAUUUAUUUGGGUUUAUACCCCUUCUAUAUUUUUCACCUGUUUUUCUUUAGUCAGGGAGAGAGGUAUGAAUUCAUUCCUUCAUUCAUUCAUCUUCUACCACUUGCCUAUCUCAGGCGUCAUUGGGAUCAUCAGGAUACACCCUAGACGGAGUGCCAACCCAUCACAGGGCACACACACGCAAUCACACACUAGGGACAAUUUUUCCAGAGAUGCCAAUCAACCUACCAUGCAUGUCUUUGGACUGGGGGAGGAAACCGAGUACCCGGAGGAAAACCCAGAGGCAUGGGGAGAACAUGCAAACUCCACACACACAAGGUGGAGGCGGGAAUCGAACCCCGACCCUGGAGGUGUGAGGCGAACAUGCUAACCACUAAGCCACCGUGUCCCCCAGAGGGUGUAUGAAUAUUGUCUUUAAUUUUAUUUUAAUUUUGGGCAGGGAAGUUACAUUGUUAACCUUAAGUAAGUUUCUGUUUAGUUUGUUGUUUUUGGCAUUUGCUCUCUCCUGAUGCCUUGGUUGGUUAGGAUUAUUUACUCUGACAUUUGUAUAUAAUUUAUAUUCAUUGGCAAUAAACUCAAUUUAAGAAUACACAGUACUUUACCACAGUAAAGUAUUAAGCCUUGCAAAAUAUUACAAUUGGUGUCAUAAGACAUACGUAGGCGAGGUUGUAGGCCCCAGGUGUUGUAAUAGUUUUAAGGUAAUAUAUGACUAACAUAUAAAUGGCCACACCUGAGUCAAAGUGUAAACAAGAAAAGAAGUUUAUUGUGAUCAUAAAUUUAGUAAAAGUAACCAGACUCAGUGGUAUCAGGCCUAGUCAGUCUGAGCUCUCUGAUCAACAAUGUGUGAGGAAGUGAAAGUCAAAAGUUCAGCUGAAACAGGCCUCAUGUAGGCAGUAGGGAGAGACAGCUGAAUCAGGUGACCAGCUGAACGGACCUGCUGAUUCUGAGAUUGAGGGUCUAAGGGAAAAGGGGAACCUGACCUUUAGUAGAAAGAGAGAAGCUAAGGCUUAAAAUAUGCAUGUGCAAGCCCAGUCUGGAAAGUGACAGACUGAGAUCAUAACAAUGGUUUAGUAAGCUUAAGGAGUCAACAUAGAACUCACUUAUAUACAAACCAACUUUAUAACAGCAAGGGCUUAGCAAAAACAGCAAUACAACAUAACCAAUAUAAUCGAGAACUUUUAUCUUAAUUCAAACUCAUAAAGAUAACAUAUAAUCAAUCAAUUAUAUAAUCAGGGAUGAGGGUGUGAUAGCCUGGUGGUUAAGGUGUUAGAUUACCAAUCGGAAGGUUGCGAGUUCGAUUCCUACGUCCACCAGGCUGCCACUGCUGGGGCCCUGAGCAAGGCCCUUAACCCUCAAUUGUUCAGUGGUAUAAAAAUGAGAUAAAAUGUAAGUCGCUUUGGAUAAGGGCGUCUGCUAAAUGCUGUAAAUGUAAAUAUAAUCAGUAGAAAUCAUAUUUAUAGCAAGAAAUGAAAUGAGGAAACUUACUCAUUGUAAGCUGUAAAAGAGGAUUAAUACACAGGACAUCUGUGUUAUGGAAGAUUGAGUUAAUGACAAGGAGGGGUAGGGACAAGAAGAUCUCUGGAGCCCAUUUUAAACAAGAUUUUUAACAAUGAAGCAUUUUUUUUAAUAACAAUGCAGAAGUAUGUCUGGAAAAACAACAGAAAAAAUUAAGAGGCAGACUUGUUUCUCUUGUAUUACGGGAAAAUUAAAAGGGCAGACGGGUUUUGUAGAAAUAAGGGGAAGUCACUUAUGCCCCUUUUCCACCGAGGCAGUUUGAGUGCUGGUUCGGAGCCAUAGCCUAAUUUAGAACCAGUUCUUUCUUUUCCGACAGCCAAAGCACCGGCUCUGAACCAGGAAAAGUGGUUCUUCAUUGGGCAUCAAGGCAGGAUACACCCUGGACGGAGUGCCAACCCAUCGCAGGGCACACACACAAUCACACACUACGGACAAUUUUCCAGAGAUGCCAAUCAACCUACCAUGCAUGUCUUUGGACCAGGGGAGGAAACCAGAGUACCCGGAGGAAACCCCCGAGGCACGGGGAGAACAUGCAAACUCCACACACACAAGGCGGAGGCGGGAAUCAAACCACCAACUCUGGAGGUGUGAGGCGAAUGUGCUAACCACUAAGCCACCAUGCGCCCUGGUGAGAGUCAUUCUCCAGCAAUGAUGAUAUUUUUGCUACCAUCCUCCUUUCUCCCACCUCCUGUACAGUGACCAGAGGAAUCCCCAGGACUGAACUGGCCUUCCUGUGAAGUGUAAGCCUCCUUUGAGUUUGCAUAAAAUAAAUCCAAUGUUUUAUUUAGCAACCAGGCUUUUGUAUUUGACAACUGAAAGAAAAUAAAUUAAGCAAACAUUA